GGCUUGGCUGAAUAGAAAAUGAACCCACCAGCCUCAUCGGAAGCAAAUCAGAGUUUCCCUUUUGCAAACAGAAUAGAGAGAAUCGGGAAGACUGUGGACCACAUGUCUCCAGUUCCAUUUUCCUGAGCUUACACCUUUCAAUAAGCCCACUCCACCCUGGGGUAGAGGAAGAAGGCUGGACUAUCUGGAAACCAGACAACACUCACCAACCCCAUCAAAACUGUGCCCAGGCUGCUGACCACAGAGACCACUUCCUCAUCGCGGAGAUGCCUGAAGUCCAGUAACCUUUUCUUUGGCCAAAUUACAAGGUUCCUUAGAAGUAAACUUUCCUAACAACAUGCUGAUCUUUCCUCUAAUGAUCAGUCUAAAUACUACCUUCCUCAUGUCAUUUAUAAGUGCUCCAUAGGAGAACGGGGCACUGAAAAGGGCUUGAUCUAACCACACCUCAACCGUCUCCUCCCUGUGUUUACUCUGCCAGUUCAACUGCAAAGAAAUAAGCUAACAAACAGAAUCUCUUUCAAGGCUCUUGUGUCCUUUGUAAGCAAGUCAGUCACGAAUGGAAUGCAUCUCAAAUUUAAUUUACUGAUGGCAUGUAUUAGAAUGAGGUCAGAAUGUGAUUUUUCAAAAUGUUAAAUCAUUUUGUCUAUUUUCCACACUAAAGCAUCUUUUCAACCAUUAUAUUCACUUAAAAUUAUGUUAUGUAACUAUUCUCUUUAAAUACCAAGAGUAAUUAUUAUAACUUUUAAAAAGGUAGAAUACGGACCUAUAAUUUUUUCUUAUAAUAGGCCAUUUCUAAAAGAAAGCAAAGUGAUUUGUGUGUCACACAGAUAGAGAGUGUACCUUUUAGGAUUGAAAUGGAGCUGUGAAAAGAAAAAGAAAAACCAGGCUAUGUACCACCACUAAUCCUUCUUAUUUUCAUUCUUGGUUGGGGAAGGGGGUGAAAGAGGAGCAGCUAGGCAUCAGUUCAAGUUUAGCUCCUGGCUCAGAAAUAGGGCAACAGGAUGGGGAGACCUAAAGCCACCAAAAGAAGAUCCAGGGUGCUCUGAACACAACUUCCUCAGAUGCCCAUCCCAAACACAGUGCUAAAUUUCAUCUUCUCAUAGCCUACUAUGCUUAUUUCUGUCUGUGGUUUUGGCUUCACUCUACAGAGUAAGGCAACUGCAUCAUCUUCACAUACGGUUGUGAACUGUAGGCUCAUCUUUGUCUUAAUCUCUUGAUAAAUAAAAU
rnacentral:lncRNA from 1 species